GAUGAACGCUGACAGAAUGCUUAACACGUGCAAGUCGAUUCAAUUUACCUUCGGGUAAUGAGGAUGGCGGACGGGUGAGUAACGCGUAAGGAACUUGCCUCUUGGUCUGGGACAACUGUUGGAAACGACAGCUAAUACCGGAUAUUAUGAGAUUCUCGCAUGGGAAACUUAUGAAAGCUAUAUGCGCCAAGAGAGAGCCUUGCGUUCCAUUAGCUAGUUGGUGGGGUAACGGCCCACCAAGGCGACGAUGGAUAGCCGGCCUGAGAGGGUGAACGGCCACAAGGGGACCGAGACACGGCCCUUACUCCUACGGGAGGCAGCAGUGGGGAAUAUUGGACAAUGGGCCACAAGCCUGAUCCAGCAAUUCUGUGUGCACGAUGAAGGUCUUCGGAUUGUAAAGUGCUUUCAGUUGGGAAGAAGAAAGUGACGGUACCAACAGAAGAAGCGACGGCUAAAUACGUGCCAGCCGCCGCGGUAA
rnacentral:rRNA from 1 species